AUCGACAAUCAAUCCCAAAAAAAUACUAAUUUUAGCUUGACUAAAAGAGAUCUAAACAUAUGUAAAUAAAUUAAACUUUCUAAUACCAUAAUUUUCAAAAAUUCAUAUACAUUCGAACUAUGCUUCAAUAACCUCACACCCCAAACUACUUGACUGGAACAAGUGUUAAAGUUUAUCUAUCAAGUUUAAUUUAUUAACAUUGUAUCUAAUAACAUAAAAGGAGCAUAUCAUACAUGACAACAAACUAACUUAAUACAAAUUUGGAUGAAUUCAAACUACAAAAAGAUGAAACUGAUCAAACCUAUAAGCCCAAAGCUUCCAACUCAAACAACAAAAACAAAUCAUUCAUUCCACUAUGACAAAUGAGGUUCAGUAAGUACCUGGUUACAACAAAUAAACAAGGAAAAUUCUGAGGUUAAAAGGAGCAGCAGCAAUAAACAGCAAUGUAACAGUGCAGAAAUAGCAACUCAAACCAAACUUUUAAACUCUAAUUUUUCUGACUUGCUAAAGAAGAAGCUAUGCCUUUAUAGGCAAGCCUUAGGGCAGCAGAAAAAUGAAUUCAGUUUUGCUAUUUAAUCGUUUUCAAAUUUUUAUUUUUGCCUAUGUACCCAGAGUUUAAAAUCAGCAUUUUCAAAUUAGUCCCAAAGCCACCUUCCAUGAAGCUUCCCAAAUCAUAUAUAAAUAUAUUCCCUAGCCUAAAUUCCUAAAUUAAACCCUAGGACCCCUGUUUUUACCCCAGAAACCUCAUGGGUCAAGUUGACUCGGUAAAAUAAACCCAAAGGAACGGGCUGUACUUGACAAAAGGGUCAACAAUGACCUCGAAGACCAAACUAAAAAUCUGUAAUCUAUGGAAGGUAGAAGAAACGAAAAAGAAACCAUUUAGAUGAUUAUAAACUACAAAUCUAAACAAAAUGACUAAUUACUCACAAGUGAUCAUGGAACUAAAUAGGUUAACCAAUCGAAAUAAACCUAAUUAAACUAAACAAUGAGAUAAAAAAUAAAAAAGAGGAAAAUUAGAAACUUAGCAAAACUAAACAAAUGGAUAAACAAAAUCAGUGCACAACUUUAGAAAUUAAAAAGAAAAACUGAAAAGGAACGAAAAUAAGUGCGAACAACAAAUUAAUCUAAAGGGAAGAACUAGGUCCGAAACUAUUCACAAUUUCUGUCAGAAGACAUACCACUCAAAAUAAACGGAGAAGAAAUGUAGAAGAAUACGAGGUGAAACAAACCUAAACGGACAGAAAAAUAAAAGAAAGAGGACUUACCAACUCAACUAGACACUUCUGGAUGCCCUGAUUUAAACAAAAUUGAUGAUAAUUGCUUGUUCGCCGUCAAGAACAAGCGAACAACAAUAAUUUUUCCUUGAACCAUAUUUCAAAACUCAAAAAACUGGAAGCCUAUGUCAUGCAUGCCAUGGAUUCAAGAGAUCCUCAUUUUGGGAUUUUAAGGCUUCAACUUCGGUUCAACAUUUGACAAAGAUUAGGGUGAUUUGAGGGAAUCCAAAUAAAGAUUGGGGAAUAGGGAGCCAUGGGGAUUUUCUAGUGUUGAUUUGGGGGAAUCCAAAUAAAGAUUGGGGAAUAGGGAGCCAUGGGGAUUUUCUAGUGUUGAUUUGGGCCGGUUUGGGGGUGGCACCGCCACCGGAGAUGGUAGGGAUUUUGGGAUGGCGGAGUAGGGUCAGGUUGUCUCUGAUGGUGAGGAAGAUGAAGCGAGAGACGGACUGAGGGGGUAAGGGGGGAAAUCGGACAAUUUUAUAUGAAAAUGGGGGU
rnacentral:lncRNA from 1 species